rnacentral:tRNA from 1 species
GCGCCGGUGGUGUAAGGCGAACAUCGCUGCUCAGAAAGCAAAAGAUGCGGGUUCGAGUCCUGCCUGGCGCA